rnacentral:rRNA from 1 species
ACAUGACGCAUGUCGUGUUGGGAAAGAUUCUAUCGGUAUGGGAUGGGGUCGCGUCCUAUCAGCUUGAUGGCGGGGUAACGGCCCACCAUGGCUUCGACGGGUAGCCGGCCUGAGAGGGCGACCGGCCACAUUGGGACUGAGAUACGGCCCAGACUCCUACGGGAGGCAGCAGUGGGGAAUAUUGCACAAUGGGCGCAAGCCUGAUGCAGCGACGCCGCGUGCGGGAUGACGGCCUUCGGGUUGUAAACCGCUUUUGACUGGGAGCAAGCCCUUCGGGGUGAGUGUACCUUUCGAAUAAGCACCGGCUAACUACGUGCCAGCAGCCGCGGUAAUACGUAGGGUGCAAGCGUUAUCCGGAAUUAUUGGGCGUAAAGGGCUCGUAGGCGGUUCGUCGCSUCCGGUGUGAAAGUCCAUCGCUUAACGGUGGAUUCGCGCCGGGUACGGGCGGGCUUGAGU